UAGCGGCGCACGGGUGCGUAACGCGUAUGCAAUCUACCUUUCACAAAGGGAUAGCCCAGAGAAAUUUGGAUUAAUACCUUAUAGUAUAUCGAGUUGGCAUCAACAUGAUAUUAAAGAUUUAUCGGUGAAAGAUGAGCAUGCGUCCCAUUAGCUAGUUGGUAUGGUAACGGCAUACCAAGGCUACGAUGGGUAGGGGUCCUGAGAGGGAGAUCCCCCACACUGGUACUGAGACACGGACCAGACUCCUACGGGAGGCAGCAGUGAGGAAUAUUGGACAAUGGGCGCAAGCCUGAUCCAGCCAUGCCGCGUGCAGGAUGACGGUCCUAUGGAUUGUAAACUGCUUUUAUACAGGAAGAAACACCUCUACGUGUAGAGACUUGACGGUACUGUAAGAAUAAGGAUCGGCUAACUCCGUGCCAGCAGCCGCGGUAAUACGGAGGAUCCAAGCGUUAUCCGGAAUCAUUGGGUUUAAAGGGUCCGUAGGCGGUCAGGUAAGUCAGUGGUGAAAGCCCAUCGCUCAACGGUGGAACGGCCAUUGAUACUGCUUGACUUGAAUUAUUAGGAAGUAACUAGAAUAUGUAGUGUAGCGGUGAAAUGCUUAGAGAUUACAUGGAAUACCAAUUGCGAAGGCAGGUUACUACUAAUGGAUUGACGCUGAUGGACGAAAGCGUGGGUAGCGAACAGGAUUAGAUACCCUGGUAGUCCACGCCGUAAACGAUGGAUACUAGCUGUUGGGAGCAAUCUCAGUGGCUAAGCGAAAGUGAUAAGUAUCCCACCUGGGGAGUACGAACGCAAGUUUGAAACUCAAAGGAAUUGACGGGGGCCCGCACAAGCGGUGGAGCAUGUGGUUUAAUUCGAUGAUACGCGAGGAACCUUACCAAGGCUUAAAUGUAGUUUGACCGGUUUGGAAACAGAUCUUUCGCAAGACAAAUUACAAGGUGCUGCAUGGUUGUCGUCAGCUCGUGCCGUGAGGUGUCAGGUUAAGUCCUAUAACGAGCGCAACCCCUGUUGUUAGUUGCCAGCGAGUCAUGUCGGGAACUCUAACGAGACUGCCAGUGCAAACUGUGAGGAAGGUGGGGAUGACGUCAAAUCAUCACGGCCCUUACGCCUUGGGCUACACACGUGCUACAAUGGCCGGUACAGAGAGCAGCCACUGGGUGACCAGGAGCGAAUCUACAAAACCGGUCACAGUUCGGAUCGGAGUCUGCAACUCGACUCCGUGAAGCUGGAAUCGCUAGUAAUCGGAUAUCAGCCAUGAUCCGGUGAAUACGUUCCCGGGCCUUGUACACACCGCCCGUCAAGCCAUGGAAGCUGGGGGUACCUGAAGUCGGUCACCGCAAGGAGCCGCCUAGGGUAAAACUAGUAACUAGGGCUAAGUCGUA
rnacentral:rRNA from 1 species